UACAGAGGGUGCGAGCGUUAAUCGGAAUUACUGGGCGUAAAGCGCACGUAGGUGGCGCCGUAAGUCGGGUGUGAAAGCCCCGGGCUCAACCUGGGAAUUGCAUUCGAGACUGCAUUGCUGGAGUACGGAAGAGGAAGGCGGAAUUCCCGGUGUAGCGGUGAAAUGCGUAGAUAUCUGGAGGAACACCGGUGGCGAAGGCGGCGUUCUGGACUGCAACUGACACUGAAAAACGAAAGCCAGGGGAGCAAACGGG
rnacentral:rRNA from 1 species